GUGCGAUAAGUAGUGUGAAUUGCAGAAUUCCGUGAAUCAUCGAAUUUUUGAACGCAAAUUGCGCUUCCUGGCAUCCCGGGAAGUAUGCCUGUUUGAGGGUCAGUAUUAAUAAAAAAUCGGUUUGGUUACAAAUUGUGACGUUUCCGGAGUUUGGGCUAUCUUAACAUUUUUGGUUAAGAGGCUUAAAAUUGACCUUUUUUGCGCAUUUUUAGACGUACAUAAAUUUUUUUUUAUUCGUCUAUUCAUUCUUAAUGCCAAAAUCUUAUUAGAUGCGAUCACAUCGUGUGGUUUCGUGUCCAUAAAAUUUUCAUGAUUUGACCUCAAAUCAGGUAGGAGCACCCGCUGAACUUAA
rnacentral:misc_RNA from 1 species